rnacentral:misc_RNA from 1 species
GAUGAAGAACGUAGCGAAAUGCGAUAAGUAAUGUGAAUUGCAGAAUUCAGUGAAUCAUCGAAUCUUUGAACGCACCUUGCGCUCUUUGGUAUUCCGAAGAGCAUGCCUGUUUGAGUGUCAUGAAAAUAUCAACCUUGACUUGGGUUUUGUGCUCUAGUCUCGGCUUGGAAUUGGGUGCUUGCCGCUUUUACGAGCGGCUCACCUUAAAUGUAUUAGCUGGAUCUGUCUUUGAGACUUGGUUUGACUUGGCGUAAUAAGUAUUUCGCUAGGGACAUUCUUCGGAGUGGCCUCGUUUCUAGGACGCUUGUCCGCUUUCCAAUACAAGUUCCACCUCGUGGACAUGACUUUUUAUUAUCUGGCCUCAAAUCAGGUAGGACUACCCGCUGAACUUAAGCAUAUCAAUAAGCGGAGGA